GACGUAGGGGGCUAGCGUUGUUCGGAAUUACUGGGCGUAAAGCGCGUGUAGGCGGCUUGGCAAGUCGGAAGUGAAAGCCCCAGGCUCAACUUGGGAAUUGCUUUCGAAACUGCCUAGCUUGAGUGCGGGAGGGGAGAGCGGAAUUCCAGGUGUAGCGGUGAAAUGCGUAGAUAUCUGGAGGAACACCGGUGGCGAAGGCGGCUCUCUGGACCGUAACUGACGCUGAGACGCGAAAGCGUGGGUAGCAAACAGG
rnacentral:rRNA from 1 species